AGAUUAAGUUAUUAAGGGCGCACGGUGGAUGCCUUGGCACUAGAAGCCGAUGAAGGACGUUACUAACGACGAUAUGCUUUGGGUAGCUGUAAGUAAGCGUUGAUCCAGAGAUUUCCGAAUGGGGGAACCCAGCAUGAGUUAUGUCAUGUUAUCGACAUGUGAAUUCAUAGCAUGUCAGAAGGCAGACCCGGAGAACUGAAACAUCUUAGUACCCGGAGGAAGAGAAAGAAAAAUCGAUUCCCUGAGUAGCGGCGAGCGAAACGGGAAGAGCCCAAACCAACAAGCUUGCUUGUUGGGGUUGUAGGACACUCUAUACGGAGUUACAAAAGAACAUGUUAGACGAAUCAUCUGGAAAGAUGAAUCAAAGAAGGUAAUAAUCCUGUAGUCGAAAACAUAUUCUCUCUUGAGUGGAUCCUGAGUACGACGGAGCACGUGAAAUUCCGUCGGAAUCUGGGAGGACCAUCUCCUAAGGCUAAAUACUCUCUAGUGACCGAUAGUGAACCAGUACCGUGAGGGAAAGGUGAAAAGUACCCCGGAAGGGGAGUGAAAGAGAACUUGAAACCGUGUGCUUACAAGUAGUCAGAGCCCGUUAAUGGGUGAUGGCGUGCCUUUUGUAGAAUGAACCGGCGAGUUACGAUCUGAUGCAAGGUUAAGCAGCAAAUGUGGAGCCGCAGCGAAAGCGAGUCUGAAUAGGGCGUUGAGUAUUUGGUCGUAGACCCGAAACCAGGUGAUCUACCCUUGGUCAGGUUGAAGUUCAGGUAACACUGAAUGGAGGACCGAACCGACUUACGUUGAAAAGUGAGCGGAUGAACUGAGGGUAGCGGAGAAAUUCCAAUCGAACUUGGAGAUAGCUGGUUCUCUCCGAAAUAGCUUUAGGGCUAGCCUCAAGUGAUGAUUAUUGGAGGUAGAGCACUGUUUGGACGAGGGGCCCCUCUCGGGUUACCGAAUUCAGACAAACUCCGAAUGCCAAUUAAUUUAACUUGGGAGUCAGAACAUGGGUGAUAAGGUCCGUGUUCGAAAGGGAAACAGCCCAGACCACCAGCUAAGGUCCCAAAAUAUAUGU
rnacentral:rRNA from 1 species